rnacentral:rRNA from 1 species
GACGGAGGAUGCAAGCGUUAUCCGGAAUUAUUGGGCGUAAAGCGUCCGCAGGUGGACAUACAAGUCUGCUGUCAAAGUGCAGAGCUUAACUCUGUAAAGGCGGUGGAAACUGUAGGUCUUGAGUAUGGUAGGGGUAGAGGGAAUUCCCGGUGUAGCGGUGAAAUGCGUAGAUAUCGGGAAGAACACCGGUGGCGAAAGCGCUCUACUGGGCCAUAACUGACACUGAGGGACGAAAGCUAGGGGAGCGAAAGGG